rnacentral:lncRNA from 1 species
AGAUGGAAAUUAUCCAGAUCACAUCUUUCUUGCUGACAUAAAUGAUGAGCUGGUGAUUGUUCCAGAACACUGAGUAUGUUGGUUAGGCUAUAUCUUGAAUAAUGCAUGAAAUUCAUCUUCUCUAGCAACUCAGACAAUUCAACGGAGUAUGGAGACCCUGCCGUGCGCAUUUGCAGGCAAUAGCGUGCCAUCCACUCCGCGUGUCAUGUGUUUGAAAUGAGGAGGGAUGCUGAAUGCAUCAGGUCCUAUCCUAUUAUAUAAUUAUAGUCUAAUCUCCUUUUCUUAAAUCAUCAACUGACUGGACUUUGAUUCAGAUUGGACACAAACAGGUGAUGUUACAUAGGACCUUAAUUGUCACACCUUUCAACCUUCCAAGACAACCAUCAGAACUGACAAGCAAGUUUACAUGACUGCCGUAUACAAGUGGUGGCCAUACACCGUACCAGGGGAUAAUGACUGAAACGGGAGUUACAAGAGUAAAACGCAGGUGAACUUUCCAGGAGAAACUUGGUCAACGGGACAAAAUGUAUCAAUAUCAACUAGUUAUCAUUUGUAGCUCCAAAACAACACCUUGAAACAUUCAUUCUAAGCAGCAUGGUAUGAAGACUAUAUUUACAGGCCGGGGUACCAAUCUUCGGGGGACUUGGGCAGAGCAAUGGACCACGGUACAAUAUAUAUUGAAUUUUCACCGAGCUCAUGUCAUAUUCGCCCUUAGAAUCCUCAUCUUCCUUGGCCAUACACACUUGUCAAGUCAAUCUUCAGAGUGGCAUGUCCAGUAGAUUAGCCCACUGCAAGGUAUAUCACCAAACAUUAUAAGCGAUGGAAGGAAGGUGCAACAGUGCAAGGAACAGACCACGGUAUAGGCAUGCGAUAAGUAGUACCGUCCCGUAAAUACCUGACUAACACACAAAACA